GGAGAGGUGGCAGAGCGGUUGAAUGCACCGGUCUUGAAAACCGGCAGGGGUCAACGCCCCUCCAGGGUUCGAAUCCCUGCCUCUCCGCCA
rnacentral:tRNA from 1 species